ACUCUUCCCACUCACUCAAUUUCUCUCCAAGAAAAAUAUCAAGGCAAGAAAAGCUCUCACUCUCUCCACCUCUCUUCAUUUUCGUCCAUCCUCUCUUCCCCCACUCCCAAGACUCUUCUCCCACCAUUAUCACACUCCAUAGAAGCCCUUGAAGCCCCAAGAGAAGUAUCAAAGCAAGGGAGAGCAUGGGAAAACGAGGGCGUAAAGUUAGAGUGAAGGUUGUGCUUCGAGGGAAUUGGUUCACAGGACGGUACCACCGCUUAGAUCACCCCUCUUCCACACUGAGGAUCAGGUUGAGCAACUGGUGGUGGUGAUGAAGUGACGAGCGGAACCCUUUUGUCAUAUCCUUAUGUAUUAAUGAACUCUGGGGAUACAUGUCUUCAUACAUGUAAUCAGAACCAUAUUCCGCUGCGUACUCAAAAGAUUUAUGUUAUUUUGGCUAAGGCGGAGUUAUCCGAACUUACUAGUUUAUUCGAGUCAAUAUGACGAACCUUUGUCAUAUUAUAAAUA